rnacentral:rRNA from 1 species
AGUGAACGCUGGCGGUAGGCCUAACACAUGCAAGUCGAACGGCAGCACAGGAGAGCUUGCUCUCUGGGUGGCGAGUGGCGGACGGGUGAGGAAUACAUCGGAAUCUACUUUUUCGUGGGGGAUAACGUAGGGAAACUUACGCUAAUACCGCAUACGACAUACGGGUGAAAGCAGGGGCCCUUCGGGCCUUGCGCGAUUGAAUGAGCCGAUGUCGGAUUAGCUAGUUGGCGGGGUAAAGGCCCACCAAGGCGACGAUCCGUAGCUGGUCGGAGAGGAUGAUCAGCCACACUGGAACUGAGACACGGUCCAGACUCCUACGGGAGGCAGCAGUGGGGAAUAUUGGACAAUGGGCGCAAGCCUGAUCCAGCCAUACCGCGUGGGUGAAGAAGGCCUUCGGGUUGUAAAGCCCUUUUGUUGGGAAAGAAAUCCAGCUGGCUAAUACCCGGUUGGGAUGACGGUACCCAAAGAAUAAGCACCGGCUAACUUCGUGCCAGCCGCCGCAGUAA